rnacentral:antisense_RNA from 1 species
CGUAGGCCAGCAGCGUACGUUGACAAAGCUGAGAGCGUACACAGUCUUCUUUGGCAAAACGCACCACGCCAAUCAUAUCGUCCUCUUCAAAACGCGCCAGGGCAUCGCCCAGGCCGGACUUCACAUGAGAUGGCAGAUCACACUGGGUAAUAUCGCCGUUAACGAUAACCGUUACAUUUUCGCCAAGGCGGGUC